GUUUUUCUUUUGCUCCUUUUUGUUUUAAAUUUUUUAUUGGGAUAAAUAGGCCUAAUGAAAUGAUCGGUAACUCCUCUACAUCUUUUGGGAUAAAUAGGCCUAAUGAAAUGAUCGGUAACUCCUCUACAUCUUAAGUGCAUGAAGAAUAUCUAAUAGCCACGUGAAUACAAGUGAAUGCAGCCGGACAAAGAUGGAGUUGCAGC
rnacentral:misc_RNA from 1 species